AUUGAACGCUGGCGGUAUGCUUAACACAUGCAAGUCGAACGGCAGCACGGUCUGUAGUAAUACAGAUGGGUGGCGAGUGGCGGACGGGUGAGUAAUACGCAGGAAUCUGCCCUAUAGAGGGGGAUAACUCGAGGAAACUCGAGCUAAUACCGCAUAGUCUCUACGGAGUAAAGCUGGGGCAACCUGGCGCUAUAGGAGGAGCCUGCGUCUGAUUAGCUAGUUGGUGGGGUAAAGGCCUACCAAGGCGACGAUCAGCAGGUGGUCUGAGAGGAUGAUCACCCACACUGGGACUGAGACACGGCCCAGACUCCUACGGGAGGCAGCGGUGGGGAAUAUUGGACAAUGGGGGCAACCCUGAUCCAGCAAUACCGCGUGUGUGAAGAAGGCCUUAGGGUUGUAAAGCACUUUAGGCGGGGAAGAAGGUAUGUAUUUUAAGAGAUAACAUAUUUGACGGUACCCGCAGAAUAAGCACCGGCUAACUCUGUGCCAGCCGCCGCUGUAA
rnacentral:rRNA from 1 species